rnacentral:lncRNA from 1 species
GAGCUCAGGUGGAUGGUUCUUCUGGUGAUCUUAUCUGGGAUUAUUUCUGUAGCUGCAAUCAUCCGGAGGAUUUCUAGGGCUGAAAGUCCAAAAUGGCUUUACUCACAUGUCUGACACUUCAGUUGCAAUGCCUGGAACAGAUGGAGGCUGGCCAGAAAUCAAUCAAUCUCUCUCUCUCUCUUUCCCUUCAGCCUGUGAAGCUAAUUCAGCCUCUGCAGUAGAGUAUCUGGACUUCUUUCCUUUAUACAGUGGAUUAAGACUCCAUGAUGUAAAAGCAGAAGUAGCCAUAUCUCUUAAGGGCUAGGCCAGAAUAGGGGAGGUGUCACUUUUACCAUAGCCUAUUGAUAAAAGAAAUCACAAAGCCAGCCCAGAUUCCAUGUCAGUGGAGAAAUAAACUCAUUGAUUUAUGGGAGGAAUAGCAAAGAAUUUGGAUCAUCUUCAGUUCACCACAGGAUGUAUAAUAUAGCAAGACAAGCAAUAGUAACCUCUAAAAAUUGCCUUUAAACUUUUUGGAUUGAAGAGCAGCUAGCAGAUGUGACAUGUUUCCACAGACAGCAACAACACAAAUGGUCUAAUCAAGGGACUGGAAAGGUCAGCUUGUUACCUGGCUUGGCCCACCCUUUAACAUUUUUUCUUAUCAGAGUUAUUCAUAAAAUUUUACAAUAUUAGAGUUGGGAGAGAUUUGAAGGUCACCUAGCCCAAUCAAAUGUCUUUGGACAAAAACAAGCCUUUAAACAAGAUUACAGACAUUAAUCUGUAGCACAUCCGUGUAGCACAUCUGCUAGAUAAUUUGUUUAUAUGACUCAUUUGUUGUGGCUUUGGUGGAGGACAGGAUCUAAGGAGAUAGAACAUAGGACAGAUAUAUUUUCCAUGGAUGGGAAAAGAUAGGAGAAUAUUCAGGGUUUAGGGUGUGUUUAUACCCUAGUAAGGCCCGAGGAAUAGAGAUGAGCAUGGUAGUCAUGGGAACCACAAAGCAUUCAGUGUUGAGGGGAGAAUCAGAAAAUCUGUAAAGUAUAUUUUACCAAGUUUGCAAUUCUGCCUGAGGGAGGGCCUUGGAAGUGAUUUGCUACAACACUUCCUAUUAGUCAGAGAGAAGACUUCUUGGAAGAAGUGUUUCAACAUCACUAGAAAUGAGAAGCAGCUUUCUCAUGAAUUGCUUAGUAUAGAGACAUACUUAAUUUUCCUCCUAGAGAUUGUCUCUUUCAUACCCUCCUAUAAGCUCAAGGUUUACCAAAAGAUAGACAGUAGGCUGAUCCUUAAUUUCGUCUUUCUAGAGUUCCUCAUCUUCCUAGCAGAGGAAGGGGGUCACUGAAUGAUCUGAGAUUGAGUUCCUCACUGGCCUCCCCUGUGAUUUGGGGAACGUAUGUUUUUGGUGUGGUUUAGCAUUCUAGAGUGUAUGUUUAUCAUAACAGAGCCCAGCAAAGCCCAGCCUGCUAGCCUCUGGGCUUGUUGAUACACAUUUCCUGUUUCAUUUUGCAGUCAUUGUCCUUGCAAGCUGGGCUUAACAGCUUUUGGUCUUCUCAUUUUCUGAUAAUUAUGAGAAUGUUUUGAGAUAUCAAUGUGUUCUCAAGGAAGCUUCAGGAGGAGCUGAAUACCUUUCAACUGGAGGAAGCCAAUACCUUUCAACUGGAGGAAGAAUACUCUGUAAAAGAGAAAAUAAUGCACAAAUGGCUUUUCCCCUGAAAGUGAUAAGCAAGGAAUUCCCUCCAUCCUCCUUCCCCACCCCAGACCUGGCUGAUGGCAUUGCUAGUCUUCUUUUUAGAUUCUGUUCUUGCUAUCUCCUUGUUGACCAGCUUGGGGUCCAUGGGAGGAGCUGUUGCUGUCUAAAGUUUCUAAAUGGGAUGUAACAGCUUUUUGUAAAAUUUGCUAGGUUCUUUUUGGACCUGAGUAAUUCUUUUUCUUAUCAGUAUACUGGCACUGAGAUCCUUAAACUUAUUUAGGGAGAAUUUGUGAAUAUAGUGGGUACAUAAAAACAUGAUUCAAUUACAUAUUUUUUUCUUAGAUACAAAAUAAUUUCAAACAAUCCUACAGUAUUUAAAGUGUCUUAGUAUUUUGGGGCAAAAUACACAGGACCUAUCUUGUUUCUUCUCAAUGUAAAAGAUUUCUGGAACUUGGAGCUAAUUCACGACUCUAGGUUCUGCUUCAGUUGUUGCCGUUAUUAUUGAAUUAGCUAAAAUAGUAACUAUUUAAUGAGUUGAAAAAACAAAUUUCCUAGUCCCACAUGCUAUAUGUGCAGAAACUUUAGAUUUCUAUUUCAAUAAAGCUUAAACAGAACCUUCGCUCCCAUUCUGUGCAGUUAAUUUGUGGCAUUCUUUAUUAACUUUCCCAGAAAAGUUGGCCACUGUUGCUGUGUUCCUAUGCUGGGGGAUGAUUUUUCUUUUGAAACUUCAUUAAAGCACCACAAGGGUAAAUCAAUACCUAUUCACUCACAGUUUGGGUUUCUUGUUUGUUCCACUGAGCGGAUGAGAUGAGAUGGCUUUUUAACCUAUUUAGCGCUCAGAAAGGACACCUCCAGCUAGAAGUGUUCUCAGUUGUCUGCAGCAUCUAUAAAUUUGCCAUUUCCCCCCACCCCCAUUCUCCCUACUUUUUCCUAUCUGCUUCCUGGUGGACAGGUUUUCUCAGAGACCUUCUAAUCUGGUCAAUACCAGAAGAUCUAGGUGGUCAUCAGAAAAAGCAGUAUCUUAGGGUUCUGAGCCUCAGAGAAAUGUCAGUGACUCUAAAACAAUUUAGCCAAAGGGCCAAAGCAUAUCUACCAAGGUCUGCUUCACAAGCUCUGUGGGAAUCUGCUAGCAGGGACCUGCCAGGGGUGAUUUCCCAGAGUGCUUCGCUUUUAGGUAGGCUUGGAAGGGAGGAGAUGUGGCCCACACAAAAUGGCUGGGACCUCCCACACUCCAGGUGUAGCCUGAUAAGCAAGGAAUUCCCUCCAUCCUCCUUCCCCACCCCAGACCUGGCUGAUGGCAUUGCUAGUCUUCUUUUUAGAUUCUGUUCUUGAGAGAAUCUGGAGUCCUGGCCCCUUGUUACCAGAAAUCAGCUUUAAGGGAGAAGCAACCUUCCUACAGUUAUUGGAGACUCCAGAAACAGACUAGGAUGGAGAGACAAGUUGUCAGCCAAUUUUGCUCAAACUCUGGCUGGUUCAGCUCUGUUGGGGAAAGAGGGCAAUUUUGCCUGAAGGCAUUUCUGGAAUUGGUUACAAGCUGAGGGGAAUCAGAGGGACAAGCAGUUGCUGACCUGGCAGGGCUUUGUUAGCCUCUGGAUGGUGGUUUACAGGGGAGGGUUGGGGUGGUGAGGAGAUAUGUAACCAUCUCUCUCGAAGCCACUCCAGUUAGACUUCCUUUCCCUCCAGGCAGCUUAACAAGGUCUCCAGUGCGCUCCCCAAACCCACCCCAAGCCCAUCAUCUACCAGUCUCCCUUCCACCCCAUGUUGGCCUUACUGUUCCUCCAAUAGCUGAAGAAAUCUUUCACUUCAGGGAUUUGCUAUUUUCUCCUCUGGAAAGCUUCUGCCCACGGUAUGAUUCAGUUCCACAUUUCAAUUUGUUCUUCAAAUGACCCGUUCCUCAGAGCAGCUUCCAAGGUUACUUUAUCUAGUCCUUAUUUCUGUAUCCUCAUGACUAGAGAAUGUAAGCAUCAUAAAAGCAGGGACUUUGCUAUCCUCAGAGUCUAGAACAAAGCCUCGUGCAGAGUUGAUGCUGAUUCGUGGAUAACAAACCUGGAUCAACCAACUGUCUCAUAUCACUAUGUCGCAUUCAGAUAGCUCUCAAGAGGAUGGAUAUGUGUCAAUAUUUUCAUAUUUGUUAUUUAUUGUGUAUUGUUUUUGACUAGUCUUUUUCUCUGCCACAAACAAAAGAGCUGAUUUUGUUUUUUAUAAUGAUUUUUAUUUUUUCCGUUAUAGUUGAUUUAUAGUGUUCUGUUGACUAGUCUUACUUAAUUUGAAUUAAGUACGUUUUUUAUUUGUUUGGGUUAGGGUUGGGGUUGGUGUUAGAGAUCAGAUCAGGGAUCAAAUAUGAGUCACAACUACAACCUACACCAAAACUGUGGUAACACUGGGAGUUCCCGUCGAGGCGCAGUGGUUAACAAAUCCGACUAGGAACGCUGAGGUUGCAGGUUCGGUCCCUGCCCUUGCUCAGUGGGUUAACAAUCUGGCGUUGCUGUGAGCUGUGGUGUAGGUUGCAGACGCGACUUGGAUCGCGCGUUGCUGUGGUCUGGUGUAGGCCAGUGGCUACAGCUCCGAUUCGACCCCUAGCCUGGGAACCUCCACGUGCCGCGGGAGCGGCCCAAGAAAUAGCAAAAAGACAAAAAAAA